GCUUACAGACAUGCCAGCAUGAAGAUUGCCCAAUUCUUGUCUGAUCUCAGAAGCUAAGAAGGCUUGGGCCUGGUUAGUACUUGGAUGGGAGACUACCUGGGAAUACCAGGUGCUGUAAGCU
ensembl:rRNA 5S_rRNA 5S ribosomal RNA